AAUGAACGUUGGCGGCGUGGAUUAGGCAUGCAAGUCGAGCGCGAACCCCGCAAGGGGUGAAAGCGGCGAAAGGGAGAGUAACGCGUGGGUAUCUACCCUCGGGACUGGGAUAGCUGCGGGAAACUGCAGGUAAUACCAGAUGACGUCCCCGGACCAAAGGUGUGAUUCCGCCUGAGGAUGAGCCCGCGUCCUAUUAGCUAGUUGGUGGGGUAAUGGCCUACCAAGGCAAUGAUGGGUACUGGGUGUGAGAGCACGACCCAGCUCACUGGGACUGAGACACUGCCCAGACACCUACGGGUGGCUGCAGUCGAGAAUCUUCGGCAAUGGGCGAAAGCCUGACCGAGCGACGCCGCGUGUGGGAUGAAGGCCUUCGGGUUGUAAACCGCUGUCAGUUAGGAGGAAAUCCAUGAGGGUUCUCUCUCAUGGUUGACCGAUUUUCAGAGGAAGGACGGGCUAAGUUCGUGCCAGCCGCCGCGGUAAGAC
rnacentral:rRNA from 1 species